GAUGAACGCUAGCUACAGGCUUAACACAUGCAAGUCGAGGGGCAGCGCAGUGUAGCAAUACAUGGGCGGCGACCGGCGCACGGGUGCGUAACGCGUAUCCAACCUUCCCGUUACUCAGGGAUAGCCUUCCGAAAGGGAGAUUAAUACCUGAUGGUGUUUGAAUUCCGCAUGUUAUUCAAACUAAAGAUUUAUCGGUAACGGAUGGGGAUGCGUGACAUUAGAUAGUAGGCGGGGUAACGGCCCACCUAGUCUACGAUGUCUAGGGGUUCUGAGAGGAAGGUCCCCCACACUGGAACUGAGACACGGUCCAGACUCCUACGGGAGGCAGCAGUGAGGAAUAUUGGUCAAUGGUCGGAAGACUGAACCAGCCAAGUAGCGUGAAGGAUGAAGGUUCUAUGGAUUGUAAACUUCUUUUAUACGGGAAUAAAACCACCUACGUGUAGGUGCUUGUAUGUACCGUAUGAAUAAGCAUCGGCUAACUCCGUGCCAGCCGCCGCGGUAAAAC
rnacentral:rRNA from 1 species